UCUCUUUCUCACAUCGUCUUUUUCAUUUUCUCAAGUCUAUCUUCCUCUAUCUUACAGGGUUAGGUUAACUUCUCCCUUCCUCUCGUCGUUGUCUUUAGAGGCAGAUCUUAUCAUAAGUCGCAAUUACCUAGGGAUGUCAAUGAGGCAGUGCGGGGGCAGGGGAUACAUUCCCAUCACAACCCCCGCCCUCGAAUCUAUUCCCCAUCUCCGCUUCGGAUCCCCGCUACGGGUGGAUUUUGUCCCCCGUCCCCGCAAAUCCCCACCUGGCAAGACUCUUUGAGAUGAUAACUGACAUCAACUACUGCAAGGAGUUGUGGAAGAUUGCUGUAAAAAAUACAUCACAUAAGGAUUGUUGUGAAAGAGACGGUGCUGGUAAGUUGCUUCAGUAAAAUUCUGCCUCAGCAGUGCUUCAGCAGUGAUGGAUUCAAGAUUUCCAGCCUUUAUGAUACGAAGCCAAUGUUUUAUGGACCGCAGUGUGGCAAAACACCGUAUUAGUGCUUCUGAAUCCAAUAGAAGGAUAUGUUGCAGAUAUUCAACUACCGUUAGAUUGGACUCAAUUUAAUGAUAUGUUCCAGGUUUCGUGUUUGAUGGUCGUGGACAAUAAUACAAUGAAGGUCUUGCUGCUUCUACUAAGGCCGUCCAAAUUGAACCUAUAGCACCUUCCAAGCAAGAUGUUGAUGACUUCUGUGAUGCUUAAAAAUUGUUCCAAAACAUUACUUAUUUAUAGGAUCUUACUUUCUGAUGCACUUAGAGUAGAACCAAUUAAACCCAAUGCUUGGUAUUACCUCAAAUAAACUCAUAAGGACGAUGGUCAGAUAGGUGAUGCUGCUGACUGCUUCCAGUCAGCUUUAAUGCCUGAAGAAUCCGAUCUCAUACUUUUUGUCAUUUGAAUAUUUGGAGGGUAUGUAAAAAAAUGAGGAUUCAAAUUGUUUGGUUACUCCUGCUGUUACUGAACAGUGAUGUUAUUGUUGUGUAUUGUGGUUCGGGUUACUUGGUUGUUAUUGGAAGCUAUGACAUUACUAGUCGUGCUGCUGGUGUUAACUUGAUGAGGUAUGCUAAAAUAGAACAAGUUGCAUCUGGUAUUCAUUUUAGGCUUCGUGCUCAUGCUUUCAUUGUUGCAGCGUCGAAGGGUAAUAGGGUUGUGUAUGUGAACCUUGAUGCUUGUAUGAGUUCGCAAAUUGUGACAACUAAAGUAAUCAAGAGGAUGAAAGUAAGGUAGAGUUAGUAUGGUUAGUUGGUAACUGAUUUUUUGAUCUGAAAUAUUCGCGGUGUUAAUUUUGUAAUUUUGUUUGGUUUGACAAAUACGGGAUGCAAACCGAAAAGAAUGUAGCUAUUAGCAGAACUCACACUUACGCCGUCAA